AGUGAACGCUGGCGGUAGGCCUAACACAUGCAAGUCGAACGGCAGCACAGUAAGAGCUUGCUCUUACGGGUGGCGAGUGGCGGACGGGUGAGGAAUACAUCGGAAUCUACUUUUUCGUGGGGGAUAACGUAGGGAAACUUACGCUAAUACCGCAUACGACCUACGGGAGAAAGCAGGGGAUCUUCGGACCUUGCGCGAUUGAAUGAGCCGAUGUCGGAUUAGCUAGUUGGCGGGGUAAAGGCCCACCAAGGCGACGAUCCGUAGCUGGUCUGAGAGGAUGAUCGCCCACACUGUAACUGAGACAAGGUCCCGACGCAUACGGGAGGCAGCAGUGAGGAAUAUUAGGCAAUCGGCACAAGCCUGCUCCAGCCAUACCGCGAGGGUGAAGAGGGCCUUCACGUUGUAAAACCCUUGUGUUGGGAAGGAAGAGCUUCAGGUUAAUCCCCCGCUGUUCUGACGGUACCCAAAGAAUAAGCACCGGCUAACUUCGUG
rnacentral:rRNA from 1 species